ensembl:lncRNA
CUCCCAUCCGGCCCCAGGGCGGGGUGAUGCCUGACUCUGGCGAAUCCUGACCUUUUGCCCUCCUGCUUGCAGGUGGCACCGAUUCAGCCCUGGUGACCUUUAAGGGCUGCGCCACCCCGGCCAUGUGCCAGAGCUCGCUGCUGGCCCUGGUGCAGGAGCUGGACGGCGCCGAGGUCUAUUGCUGCACCGGGAGCCUCUGUAACACCCGCAUCAUGGACGGGCGGGUGGCCGAGGGGCGGCCCAGCCACCCCUCCCCCACCCACGCCCCCACCCCCAAGCCAGGCUUCAUCCUGGAGGAAGACCAGGAGGAGGAGGACAGGGUCCCCGUUGCUGGGGGCCACCCUCCGUUGGCAGGGAGCCACGGCGACCGGGAGGCGAAGACCACCGAGAGUUCCGAAGGGCGGGGCUUGGAGGAGGGGACCGCAUCUGCCGAAGACCGCAACAACGCCGGCUCCAGGGACAACGCCUUCAGUGCGGGAGGGGUCUUUUCCGAGAGCAACGCCGCGCGGCCGACGGGCGUCCCUCACCCCGAUCCCAGGGCUACAGGCGGCCCCGCUACCAUCGUCCUGGACGGGAGCAGCCGCUCGGAGCCCGACACCAGCAAGACACCGGAGAACGGCCGGGAGAUUCCAGCCGGCAGCGGCCUGGCCCACACAGACGCUGAGGAAGAGGAGUGCGAGGAAGAAACCAGUUACUCUGCCCGGGACCACAUUACCGGUGGCUCCGGCACCGAAAGCCGCACCGGGUCAGCCAGAGAGAGCUUCGUGGCCGAGGGCAGCGCCGCUCACAGCACCGGCGGCUCGACUCCCGGCUCCCCCGGCCACCGGAUCGACACCGUAGUCCACAUCCCCCAUCUCGCCACCAGGCAGAAUGAGAGCUUCUUCUCUGAGGACAAGGAGGGAAGUUCCAGCCAGCCCAGCGCCUCCCCAGCCAGCCCCAGCGGCACCAUCCUGGCCGCCGGAGGAGCCGGAGCCGGGUCCCACCGGGGGAAGAAUAAGACCCUCUGCACCAAGCGCCCGGGAGUGGCUCCGGUCGGCCAAGAGGGCUCCUUGGAGCGCACCGAGGGCGACCGGGACUGGCCAACCAUCUCCUUCCCCAUCACCGUGGAAAUGCCCAACAGCUCCCUGCGAGGUCACCUUGGCAACGCCAGCGCCCCGGGGCUGGACUCAGUGGAGGGGCUGGUGAAGAACACCAGCGACUGGUUGUACGCCAACACCCCGGGGAAGCCACGUCCCCCCUACCCCAGCGGAGCCUUUGGCCUCGGCAGCAACUUUGGCCUCGUCACCCUCACGCUCCUGCUCGCGGUACUGCUGCACUGAGCCCUGCGCGGAACCCAGGAGUCCGGGCUCCCAGCCCCGCUGCUCUAACCCACUAGACCCUGCUGCUCCCUGCCCAGAACCAGGGAGAGAACCCAGGCGCCACCCUAGCACCGAGAGCCUGCCGCCGAGCGGAAGGAAAGCCCUGGCCGGUACCGGAGCAGGACACCUGGGUUCUUUGCGCUUGGCUGAGGGUGCAUCUGUGAAGGUGACCCCAUCGCUCCCUGCUGGCUGGAAUCGAAAAUGCUCCCCCCGUGUGUCAUAGACCCCGUAGUGCUAGUGGCAGAGGGAGAUUUCCCUUAUAGAACAGGGGGCUGGGAGCUCCCGUAGUGGCUGCUGCUCCGAGGGGCCCUAUCCACUCUAUAGGUAGAUACGUAUAGAUUAUCUAGCGCUGUAGACUGCCCUGUACUAGAUCCGUUAACCCUUGAGAUGCUGGAGGGUUUGGGGUUUUUUUGCCUGUUAAAGGCCUGGAUUAGAAGAGGGGGUGCGACUUAACACAACAACAACACAACCCAGCACUGCCAGACCGCACAUCCAUAUGGCCACACGGGCAGACAACAUACAAACGCACAUACACACCCCUGCUCCAAUACACAAAACACACACAUCUGCACUAUCCGAACACACGCACCUCGCAGACACACAAACACAAGUACACACAAGGCAGGCAGCGUGCACACACACACACACACACACACACAGAGUUUAUUUUGCUAUCUAUGAAGUCUCCUAGGGCUUAAAUAUUUAUUCCGGAGGAACUUUACCCUGUCAGACAACAGCCCCUGGGGAUGGGAGGGGGGGGGUCGUCCCCGUUUGCCCCCUGCCCCUUAGCGCCCCAUGCUGGGGGGGGGGAAGGGGGGCGCGGUCUCAUCCCUCAGCUGGUUGGCUGCCGACGGG